rnacentral:tRNA from 1 species
UGGGGUGUAGCGCAGCUUGGUAGCGCGCAUGGUUAGGGACCAUGAGGUCACGAGUUCAAGUCUCGUCACUCCAACCA